rnacentral:lncRNA from 1 species
CUAUCAAUAUAAACUGCACCGAAGGCAAGGAGCAGAACAGAGACAUGUGCAGCCAUGGAGACGGACAGCUCCUACCACAAAUGGGACAGCUCAGAGCAGGUGGAACUGACAAUGCAGGGAGCGAGCAGCGCACCUGGGAGAGGCGGUAAAGCUCUUUGCCUCUCCAACUCCACCCAAGGGAAGGCCAUUGCGAUCCUGUAUCUCCUGCUGGCGAUUUGCAUUGCAGUGGUCACAGCUCUCAUCGUGGUGAAACUUGGGAAAUGUAAGUCUCCUCUUCAUUUCUACCCCGGCCUCAGAUCUCACCUGCCAAGAGUGAGGCUGCUCUGACUAGUUUGGGGUGGAUUUUAGCAGUGGGGCACAAAAUUGGGCUGAGACUGGAGGCUCAGCUGUGACCUUAAUUAUGGAGCAGUUGCCAUUGCUAGGUAACUUUCACUCACCUCUGAGUUAAGGUGACAGGAUUUUCAAAGGGGUGGGAUUUCUCCUUAGCAUAACUCCCGCUAGCUUUCCAUGGGACUUGUGCUCGUAAAUCUCAGAAAAAUCCCACCCAAAAUCAAUAACCGGCCAUGUUUGUGGUGACAUUUUGAAGGUUGUGAAAUAUUCAUACAAACAUUUUCUUUUUUUUAACUGUGUGUUGGGGCCAGUGCGAAGGGCUGACUGCGGAUCCCACUAGCGGACAGGGAAUGUCUGGGAGUGAGAACAAUGCAACGUGGGCAUAACACAAUGCGCUGCACAAUUGCCUUUUCCACAUUAACACAAGGAGAGCUUGGGCCCGACAAAUACAUUCCUUUCCUAUUUAACUUUGCAACCACCUAACCACACACAAACCGAGACAGGCUCCUCGUGGCAGCAGGCGGCUUUCUCCUCCGCACAGCAGUCAGAGCCCUGCAUUGCUCUGGGAAGGCUGAACCUUUUCACUCUCAGCUUUGCUAUGCCCCUUUGAGCUGUCCAGCCACAUUCCACACCUGUGUGUAGUAAUAGCAGCUGCACCGCAUAUCUUGGGGCCACUGACAGCUCAGUGUAACAUAGAGCAGCCCCAAUGCAGCUCUACAUUGUACCAAGGACACAGCUGAUGUCCAGAAUAAUGAAUCCCGGUGUUGAGCACAAUGUGCCUGUAGCGGAGGAUCACAGCUAGCAUGAGGUAACGGACACCCAAAGACUUAGGUGGUAACUGGGAGGAAAGUGCAUUUUACAGCAGCACUGAUGUCCCCACAUCUAUGGAUUUCCCCUGCUCAUAAAUUUUACUCUGCUAUCAAAAGUCUCAUGUCUACAGUGUCCCAGGGUCUUGCCGAAGCCCAGGUGGAUCGAGAUAUGAUUAGAAGAGAUUCCA